UGCUUACCCUACAAGGUUCCAUCCCAAAAAGGUGCUGGAACUCCGUUCUGGGCGUUCUGUGAGAAAAAAAGCCCUGGGUCUUCCUAGUAGAGAUAUUCCUUAUCUAAAUUUCUUGACUCCUUCUCUUGCUUCCUUGCUUUCUGGUAGGGAGAGUCAGAAAUGAUGAUCAUCUGACUGUGGCAGAGCAACCACAGCAGCAUGGCGACACUGAAGCACCACCAUUUUACCUAAUUUCAAUCCCACGAGAGUCAUGAGUUCUGGAUUUUGAACACAUUCUGCAAGUUAGACUACUUGAGAGUGAAACAUAAAAUAUGCCUAUAAAGCAUAUUGCCUGGUUCCCCUGGAGGAUUACUGUGAUUCACCAUAGACUUGAUGGCUACAGAGGAAAGACUGCUCUUGUUUGCUGGGGAACAUUCCUACAGACAGACAGAAAGCACCACAUUUUCAAAGCAUGUCAAUAUGUCUGGAGGACGUGUUGAAAGAAAAGUCUUCAUCGUGGUUCAUCCAAGCUGGGAAUAAACAUGGCAACUGCUUUGGGAAGAAGGUUGUAGUUUAUUGAAGAGGAGAGCCAGGAAGAAGGUUCUGGCAGCAAGAGAAGUGAAUAAAGGGCCUAGCACAUGUAGGGAAUAGGUUUUUUACACCCUCUGGAGCCUUUUGUUUGGAGUUAUUUCCUGUUCCUGUUUUAAGGCUAUUUCCUGUGUCAUGUAUUCUGAC